rnacentral:lncRNA from 1 species
CAAAUUUUCAAGUAACGUUUUUUCUCUUACCCAAAUCAAAAUUAAUUUUUUCCAUUUCUUCACACUGAGCCCUAAAUUGAAUAUGAAUCAAUUUCUUCUCCCCUACAAAUCGACUUCGAUCAAAAUCAAGAAAUAACCUUUCCUUCCAAACCAACUUCCCAAGCAAAAAGGAAUCGAAAUCUCUCUAAAUUGUCCUCAAAUUGAAACUACUUCGCUUGGGUCAAUCCACUUGUGCAUUCACGCUUGAGGACCGUAGUAAAUGGCUUCACCCACAGGUCAAAAUUUAUGCAACAAUUACGAUGAGUAGAUUGAAGUUUUAUAAAUUGGGAUUGGGUGUUAUACUGGUUGUUAUUUGUAAUGGAUUUGACCCUGACCAGCCACUGGGAUUACGAGAUUGUUUAGGUGACCCAUCAUUCUUUUGUUCAUUCUGGCCAGCCACCGUGUUUUUGGCAAAUCUUAAGAAGCAGCUCGCUCAUCAAGAGCAAGUUCGAUUCCACAAUUUGCUUUUGUGGCCGAAAGCUUCUCCCACGUGUAUCUUUUGCCUUGGUUUGCUACCUUUUAAAGCUCCAAAUGAGAUGGAUUCUGUAAGAUUUUUUACUACUGAAAACACAAACAAAGAAUUGGAUAAAGAAUUAGGUCAUCAAGACAUUAAAUCUUAUUUCAGAUAGGAAACUGUUAAAACAAAGGAAUAGAUUGUUGUGGUUUUUUCAGUAUGUAGUUAGUAGGUUGGUGGUUUUGUAAGUCGUAUAUGGACGGUUUAGGAAUGUUUGUGUUGUUUUGUUUAAGCUCAAUGGUUGUAAUGGUUGGUAUAGUAGUGUUGGUUGUGAAAUCAUCAAAGUAAACCUGAUGUAUUUUACAGUUUCAAGCUCUUUUUUGAGUCCCAUUCUUUUCAUAAGAAUGCAUUAUUUAAUAAUGUAUUGAGGAGAAAUGUGUGGUUAAAAAAUAAGAAAAAGUUUUGGAUUUACGUGUAAUAUUAUUUUAUUGAAGAAUGUGU